rnacentral:rRNA from 1 species
UACGUAGGAGGCAAGCGUUGUCCGGAAUCACUGGGCGUAAAGCGCGUGUAGGUGGAAGAGGAAGUCUGCUGUGAAAGCGCCUGGCUUAACCGGGCGAGGUCGGUGGAAACUCCUCAUCUAGAGGUCGGUAGAGGGGGGUGGAAUUCCGGGUGUAGUGGUGAAAUGCGUAGAGAUCCGGAGGAACACCUGUGGCGAAGGCGGCCCCCUGGGCCGCACCUGACGCUGAGACGCGAAAGCGCGGGGAGCGAACGGGG